AGCGAACGCUGGCGGCAGGCCUAACACAUGCAAGUCGAACGAACCUUUCGGGGUUAGUGGCGGACGGGUGAGUAACACGUGGGAACGUGCCUUUAGGUUCGGAAUAACUCAGGGAAACUUGUGCUAAUACCGAAUGUGCCCUUCGGGGGAAAGAUUUAUCGCCUUUAGAGCGGCCCGCGUCUGAUUAGCUAGUUGGUUGAGGUAAUGGCUCACCAAGGCGACGACCAGUAGCUGGUCUGAGAGGAUGAUCAGCCACAUUGGGACUGAGACACGGCCCAAACUCCUGCGGGAGGCAGCAGUGGGGAAUCUUGCGCAAUGGGCGAAAGCCUGACGCAGCCAUGCCGCGUGAAUGAUGAAGGUCUUAGGAUUGUAAAAUUCUUUCACCGGGGACGAUAAUGACGGUACCCGGAGAAGAAGCCCCGGCUAACUUCGUG
rnacentral:rRNA from 1 species